GACAGAUUGUGAUUGUCCUAAGACAUCUCUUGCCUCUUCGUCCAAUGGUGCAGCCAAGCCGUGGGUGAGUGACUUUGACCCCAACCGAGACAUCAUCUACAUCUGUAUCAUCACAGCCCUGCUCUUCGCCCAAGGCAUCACCCUCGUCGCUUUCUGCAGCAUUAGAGCAAAGUACAAAAAAACUGCAGAGGCGCGAGAAAUGAGAGAACACAAUAAAAAAUACUCGAAUGCUUCCAAAUACCCGUAUAUGAAUCGGCCGUAGCCAGGGCCUGAUUGUGUUACCUGCUUGUUAAUGAAAACUUCAGCAGCAAUAACCGGAUUUUUUUUU